rnacentral:ncRNA from 1 species
UUUCGAGGCAGGGUGAAAUUCCCUAUCGGCGGUAAAGUCCGCAAGCGUAAGCAGAUUUGGUGCAAUUCCAGAACCGACGGUAUAGUCCGGAAGAGAGAAAC